ensembl:snRNA U6 U6 spliceosomal RNA
GUGCUCACUUCAGCAGCACAUCCACUAAAAUAGGAACCACACAGAGAAGAUUAGCAUGGCCUCUGUGCAAGGAUGACAUGCAAAUUUGUGAAGGGUUCCACAUUUUG